rnacentral:rRNA from 1 species
UCGGAAUUACUGGGCGUAAAGCGCAUGCAGGUGGUUUGUUAAGUUCAGAUGUGAAAGACCCGGGGCGUUAACCUCGGAAUAGCAUUUGAAACUAGGCAGACUAGAGUACUGUAGAGGGGGGUAGGAAUUUCAGGUGUAGCGGUGAAAUAGCGUAGAGAUCUGAAGGAAUACCGGUGGCGAAGGCGGCCCCCUCGGACAGAUACUGACACUCAGAUGCGAAAGCGUGGGGAGCAAACAGGAUUAGAUACCCUGGUAG